rnacentral:rRNA from 1 species
CAGCAGCCACGGUAAUACGUAGGGUGCGAGCGUUAAUCGGAAUUACUGGGCGUAAAGCGUGCGUAGGUGGUGGUUUAAGUCCGUUGUGAAAGCCCUGGGCUCAACCUGGGAAUUGCAGUGGAUACUGGGUCACUAGAGUGUGGUAGAGGAUAGUGGAAUUUCCGGUGUAGCAGUGAAAUGCGUAGAGAUCGGAAGGAACAUCUGUGGCGAAGGCGGCCAUCUGGGACAACACUGACGCUGAGGCACGAAAGCGUGGGGAGCAAACAGGAUUAGAUACCCCAGUAGUCCCUGUCUCUUAUAC